rnacentral:rRNA from 1 species
UACGUAGGUGGCUAGCGUUGUCCGGAUUACUGGGCGUAAAGAGCGCGCAGGCGGUCGUUCAAGUCGAGUGUGAAAGCCCCCGGCUCAACUGGGGAGGGUCACUCGAUACUGAUCGACUCGAAGGCAGGAGAGGGAAGCGGAAUUCCCGGUGUAGUGGUGAAAUGCGCAGAUAUCAGGAAGAACACCCGUGGCUAAGGCGGCUCUCUAGUACGGUACUGACGCUGAGACGCGAAAGCGUGGGGGAGCGAACAGG